rnacentral:rRNA from 1 species
UGGGGAAUAUUGGACAAUGGGCGCAAGCCUGAUCCAGCCAUGCCGCGUGAGUGAUGAAGGCCCUAGGGUUGUAAAGCUCUUUCACCGGUGAAGAUAAUGACGGUAACCGGAGAAGAAGCCCCGGCUAACUUCGUGCCAGCAGCCGCGGUAAUACGAAGGGGGCUAGCGUUGUUCGGAUUUACUGGGCGUAAAGCGCACGUAGGCGGACUUUUAAGUCAGGGGUGAAAUCCCGGGGCUCAACCCCGGAACUGCCUUUGAUACUGGAAGUCUUGAGUAUGGUAGAGGUGAGUGGAAUUCCGAGUGUAGAGGUGAAAUUCGUAGAUAUUCGGAGGAACACCAGUGGCGAAGGCGGCUCACUGGACCAUUACUGACGCUGAGGUGCGAAAGCGUGGGGAGCAAACGGGAUUAGAUACCCUGGUAGUCCACGCCGUAAACGAUGAAUGUUAGCCGUUGGGGAGUUUACUCUUCGGUGGCGCAGCUAACGCAUUAAACAUUCCGCCUGGGGAGUACGGUCGCAAGA